UACGAAGGGGACUAGCGUUGUUCGGAAUCACUGGGCGUAAAGCGCACGUAGGCGGAUAUCUAAGUUGGGGGUGAAAUCCCGGGGCUCAACCUCGGAAUUGCCUUCAAAACUGGAUAUCUUGAGUUCGGGAGAGGUGAGUGGAACUCCGAGUGUAGAGGUGAAAUUCGUAGAUAUUCGGAAGAACACCAGUGGCGAAGGCGACUCACUGGCCCGAUACUGACGCUGAGGCGCGAAAGCGUGGGGAGCAAACAGG
rnacentral:rRNA from 1 species